UGCUAAUACCGGAUAACAACAGAUGAUGCCUAUCAACUGUUUAAAAGAUGGUUCUGCUAUCACUCUUGGAUGGACCUGCGGUGCAUUAGCUAGUUGGUAGGGUAACGGCCUACCAAGGCGAUGAUGCAUAGCCGAGUUGAGAGACUGAUCGGCCACAUUGGGACUGAGACACGGCCCAAACUCCUACGGGAGGCAGCAGUC
rnacentral:rRNA from 1 species